rnacentral:lncRNA from 1 species
GACUUCAGUUAUAAAAUAAAUCUGAUUAGCAGAAAACUAAUCAUAUUUGUGAACUGGUUAUAAAUUCCAGAUUAUGGUACUGCUGAUUGUUGUAUCACUUGUGUCUCUAUGCAUGUCAGCCGUGGGAGUACUAGUCUUUAGUGUCAUUUUCUCUGAUGUGACACAGCCACCUUGUGGCAGUGAUAGCAUAUGGCCAUUUCUGCUACCAAAAUGGCAUGUUUUCUAGUGUGACUGUAAAUGUACUCCAAUUUAAAGCUGUCAGGUAAAGACUCUAAUUCAUUUCCAUGAAGAGAUGAAAAAUCACAAGUUUUGCACCACAAAAUGCAACACUUUCGUAAAGUCUUGUUAGAUACUAUGUUUCAUAUGUUUGAAAAACAGGCUGCUGACUUUGUGUACUUAGAAAAUCUGCCAUAGACUUUGAAACACAGCUUUGUAAAUCUCCUGAUGGGAGAUUUUCAGUUCUAGAACCUUUUUUAUUUGAUAAAGCACACUUGGUAAACGAUAUGAAAGAGGAAACUACUGCAGUAACCUAAAAACAGCAUUCUUAUAUAAUUCUAAACAAAAUGGGUGUGCUGAUAUGCAUACAACGUUGACAAGAUUAGUCCACUACUGGAAGAGACAAUACUGCCCUGUACAAUUUGAAAGGCCAAGUGAAAUGGUUGAAUCAAAUAUCCUCAAUUAUUCUCCACUAUGUGAGGUGUUCCAAAAACCUCCCAGGCCUUUAUGGAUUCAGAUACAUUGAUCAUGGAAGGUAUAAUGCUGUAUAAAGCAGCUUUUUCUAGUUAAAAAAAACAUUUUCUGUAGUAACUUAUAACAGUAUCUGGAUUUAUCCUCAGAUAAUUUGGAAACCUGUAAAGUUUAUGUACUCUCUUGUCAGCAAAGCUUCAGCCAGAAUUUUUUUUGUGGGUUGUAGUCUUCGAACCUGCCCAACACCAUCCACCCAGUCCCAUUUGCACACCCUGUGUUGCCAUGUAUACAGUGUGCUUCAACAAUGGAAACAGCAUACUUGGAGGAGAGCACCAGACCCCCAGUUCUGCUAGAAGACCCAGUUCUGCUAGAAGACCCAGUUCUGCUAGAGUCUGCUAGCAGACUCCUGUGCUGUCUAAAAUCACACAAGGAGAACUUGGGGGAGAGAGCUAUCAUAUCGUAUUGACUCAGUCCCCACAAAAGAGAACAAUUUUUCAAGAUCCAUAAUCCACGAUAAAUCCCUCCACCAAGUAAAUGGUAAAUGCAUUUAAAUGGGUUUAAAUCCAUGAUCUAUAUCCAUCUCCUAAUAAGGUUAUCUGUGCAUUGCUUUACUCACCUCAUUAAAUCCUUUACCUGUUUAUCUCCCUUCCCUUUUAUGUGAGUUCUUAGGAAGUGAAAAGAUGUUUAUAGUAAAAGGGCUGAAAAGCAGUGACAUUAUCC